AAGUCGUAACAAGGUUUCCGUAGGUGAACCUGCGGAAGGAUCAUUAACACGUAUCCAACGUUAAACCCCCCUGUGAACCUUAAGCGUGCUCUUGCAGCCUCUAUAGGAACAGCAAUCCUGGUAAAUCAGUCCGAGAAAAGUUUUUGAUUCAGGACCUCUGUCUAAAAGGAUGCAAUCGAGCGCUGGAGCAAGUGGCUUGGUUUCCCCAAGCAGUUAGUAUUCUGAAAGUGUUGCUAAUUGUGCAAGGAUAACGCUUUACGAUUGCUGUAGGCCGAACACCGGCCGGCGCACGCCCCCUAGCUCACAAACCCAAGUUAUCUAUAACACGCCUCCACAGCAAGUGCGCCGGAGCUUACGUCCAAAACUGAACAACUGUUAACAAUGGAUAUCUUGGUUCUC
rnacentral:misc_RNA from 1 species